UUAAAUUGAAGAGUUUGAUCAUGGCUCAGAUUGAACGCUGGCGGCAGGCCUAACACAUGCAAGUCGAACGGUAACAGGAAGCAGCUUGCUGCUUUGCUGACGAGUGGCGGACGGGUGAGUAAUGUCUGGGAAACUGCCUGAUGGAGGGGGAUAACUACUGGAAACGGUGGCUAAUACCGCAUAACGUCGCAAGACCAAAGAGGGGGACCUUCGGGCCUCUUGCCAUCAGAUGUGCCCAGAUGGGAUUAGCUUGUUGGUGAGGUAACGGCUCACCAAGGCGACGAUCCCUAGCUGGUCUGAGAGGAUGACCAGCCACACUGGAACUGAGACACGGUCCAGACUCCUACGGGAGGCAGCAGUGGGGAAUAUUGCACAAUGGGCGCAAGCCUGAUGCAGCCAUGCCGCGUGUAUGAAGAAGGCCUUCGGGUUGUAAAGUACUUUCAGCGGGGAGGAAGGUGUUGUGGUUAAUAAACGCAGCAAUUGACGUUACCCGCAGAAGAAGCACCGGCUAACUCCGUGCCAGCAGCCGCGGUAAUACGGAGGGUGCAAGCGUUAAUCGGAAUUACUGGGCGUAAAGCGCACGCAGGCGGUCUGUCAAGUCGGAUGUGAAAUCCCCGGGCUCAACCUGGGAACUGCAUUCGAAACUGGCAGGCUUGAGUCUUGUAGAGGGGGGUAGAAUUCCAGGUGUAGCGGUGAAAUGCGUAGAGAUCUGGAGGAAUACCGGUGGCGAAGGCGGCCCCCUGGACAAAGACUGACGCUCAGGUGCGAAAGCGUGGGGAGCAAACAGGAUUAGAUACCCUGGUAGUCCACGCCGUAAACGAUGUCUACUUGGAGGUUGUGCCCUUGAGGCGUGGCUUCCGGAGCUAACGCGUUAAGUAGACCGCCUGGGGAGUACGGCCGCAAGGUUAAAACUCAAAUGAAUUGACGGGGGCCCGCACAAGCGGUGGAGCAUGUGGUUUAAUUCGAUGCAACGCGAAGAACCUUACCUGGUCUUGACAUCCACGGAAGUUUUCAGAGAUGAGAAUGUGCCUUCGGGAACCGUGAGACAGGUGCUGCAUGGCUGUCGUCAGCUCGUGUUGUGAAAUGUUGGGUUAAGUCCCGCAACGAGCGCAACCCUUAUCCUUUGUUGCCAGCGGUCCGGCCGGGAACUCAAAGGAGACUGCCAGUGAUAAACUGGAGGAAGGUGGGGAUGACGUCAAGUCAUCAUGGCCCUUACGACCAGGGCUACACACGUGCUACAAUGGCGCAUACAAAGAGAAGCGACCUCGCGAGAGCAAGCGGACCUCAUAAAGUGCGUCGUAGUCCGGAUUGGAGUCUGCAACUCGACUCCAUGAAGUCGGAAUCGCUAGUAAUCGUGGAUCAGAAUGCCACGGUGAAUACGUUCCCGGGCCUUGUACACACCGCCCGUCACACCAUGGGAGUGGGUUGCAAAAGAAGUAGGUAGCUUAACCUUCGGGAGGGCGCUUACCACUUUGUGAUUCAUGACUGGGGUGAAGUCGUAACAAGGUAACCGUAGGGGAACCUGCGGUUGGAUCACCUCCUUACCUGAAAGAAGC
rnacentral:rRNA from 1 species